AACGAACGCUGGCGGCAUGCCUAACACAUGCAAGUCGAACGAGACCUUCGGGUCUAGUGGCGCACGGGUGCGUAACGCGUGGGAAUCUGCCCUUGGGUUCGGAAUAACUCAGAGAAAUUUGAGCUUAUACCGGAUGAUGACGUAAGUCCAAAGAUUUAUCGCCCAAGGAUGAGCCCGCGUAGGAUUAGCUAGUUGGUGAGGUAAAGGCUCACCAAGGCGACGAUCCUUAGCUGGUCUGAGAGGAUGAUCAGCCACACUGGGACUGAGACACGGCCCAGACUCCUACGGGAGGCAGCAGUGGGGAAUAUUGGACAAUGGGCGAAAGCCUGAUCCAGCAAUGCCGCGUGAGUGAUGAAGGCCUUAGGGUUGUAAAGCUCUUUUACCCGGGAUGAUAAUGACAGUACCGGGAGAAUAAGCUCCGGCUAACUCCGUGCCAGCAGCCGCCGUAA
rnacentral:rRNA from 1 species